rnacentral:pre_miRNA from 1 species
GUACUACUCCCUCCGUCCGGAAAUACUUGUCGGAGAAAUGAAUGAAUCUAAAUGUAUUUUAGUUAUAGAUACAUCCAAUUUUAUUCAUUUCUUCGACAAGUAUUUUGGGACGGAGGAAGUACUAC